GGGGGAUAACACUUAGAAAUAGGUGCUAAUACCGCAUAAGCGCACGGUUCCGCAUGGAACAGUGUGAAAAACUCCGGUGGUAUACGAUGGAUCCGCGUCUGAUUAGCCAGUUGGCGGGGUAACGGCCCACCAAAGCGACGAUCAGUAGCCGGCCUGAGAGGGUGAACGGCCACAUUGGGACUGAGACACGGCCCAAACUCCUACGGGAGGCAGCAGUGGGGAAUAUUGCACAAUGGGGGAAACCCUGAUGCAGCGACGCCGCGUGAGUGAAGAAGUAUUUCGGUACGUAAAGCUCUAUCAGCAGGGAAGAAAAAAAGUCCUUUGGACUUUGGACGGUACCUGACCAAGAAGCCCCGGCUAACUACGUGCCAGCAGCCGCGGUAAUACGUAGGGGGCAAGCGUUAUCCGGAUUUACUGGGUGUAAAGGGAGCGUAGACGGCAGCGCAAGUCUGGAGUGAAAUGCCGGGGCCCAACCCCGGAACUGCUUUGGAAACUGUGCAGCUGGAGUGCAGGAGAGGUAAGCGGAAUUCCUAGUGUAGCGGUGAAAUGCGUAGAUAUUAGGAGGAACACCAGUGGCGAAGGCGGCUUACUGGACUGUAACUGACGUUGAGGCUCGAAAGCGUGGGGAGCAAACAGGAUUAGAUACCCUGGUAGUCCACGCCGUAAACGAUGAUUACUAGGUGUCGGGGGGCCAAGGCCCUUCGGUGCCGCCGCAAACG
rnacentral:rRNA from 1 species